UUUUUGAGACGGAGUCUCACCCUGUCGCCCAGGCUGGAGUGCAGUGGCACGAUCUCGGCUCACUGCAACCUCUACCUCCCAGGUUCAAGCGAUUCUCCUGGCCCAGCCUCCUGAGUAGUUGGGAUUACAGGCGUGUGCCACCAUGCCCAGCUAAUUUUUGUAUUUUUAGUAGAGAUGGGGUUUCACUGUGUUGGCUAGCCUGGUCUCAAACUCUUGACCUUGUGAUCUGCCUGCCUCGGCCUCCCAAAGUGCUGGAAUUACAAGCAUGAGCCACUGUGCCUGGCCUGGCUUCCAGGUUUAUUGCUAGCUGUGGGAAAGCCUAAACUUCAGUUUUCUUAUCUGCAGAAUGAGGCAGAUAACAGUCUGGAGCUACACAUACUAGGCUCAGUGGAGAUACCAGCUGGUCAUUUUCUUCCAUGUAUUCUCUGCCUUUCAUGUUUCCACAUAUCUGCGAUAGGACCUCCCUCCGUAGUCCAGAGUUGAAGUUUUCAUGGCUUCUGUUUUUAUUUGAAGUGCCCCCCUCCUCUUCCCACUGAGGGUAGUGGAGUCUGUCCCUUUAUUAGGUCACCUGAGUUCCUUUUUAGCUGUGCUUGAUUGACUUGAAGCAUCACUGUUUUGUCUUUAAUGACCCUUAGAUUUUUACUGUGUUUGGGAUUGAUGUUUCAGCUACAUGCCUCCUCUGAAACAUUCUCCUCAGGCUCCUUGAGCUGCCAGCCAUCAGAGUUCUUGGCUAGCUGCCAAGAAGGGGUCUGACGGGUCCCUUCACAAUGAUGUCUCAGCACCUCUUCUGUGUUUGAGAAGGAUGAUGUGUAUUCUCUCUGUUUGCAGGCUCUGUCCAGCAGUGUCAGCUCCAGCAAGCUGUUCUCCAGCAGCACUGCUCCUCAUGAGACCUCCUUUGGAGAAGAGGUGGAGGUGCACAACCUACUUAUCAUUGACCAACACACCUUUGAAGUGCUUCAUGCCCACCAGUUUCUGCAGAAUGAAUAUGCCCUCAGUCUGGUUUCCUGCAAGCUGGGCAAAGACCCCAACACUUACUUCAUUGUGGGCACAGCAAUGGUGUAUCCUGAAGAGGCAGAGCCCAAGCAGGGUCGCAUUGUGGUCUUUCAGUAUUCGGAUGGAAAACUACAGACUGUGGCUGAAAAGGAAGUGAAAGGGGCCGUGUACUCUAUGGUGGAAUUUAACGGGAAGCUGUUAGCCAGCAUCAAUAGCACGGUGCGGCUCUAUGAGUGGACAACAGAGAAGGAGCUGCGCACUGAGUGCAACCACUACAACAACAUCAUGGCCCUCUACCUGAAGACCAAGGGCGACUUCAUCCUGGUGGGUGACCUUAUGCGCUCAGUGCUGCUGCUCGCCUACAAGCCCAUGGAAGGAAACUUUGAAGAGAUUGCUCGAGACUUUAAUCCCAACUGGAUGAGUGCUGUGGAAAUCUUGGAUGAUGACAAUUUUCUGGGGGCUGAAAAUGCCUUUAACUUGUUUGUGUGUCAAAAGGAUAGCGCUGCCACCACUGACGAGGAGCGGCAGCACCUCCAGGAGGUUGGUCUUUUCCACCUGGGCGAAUUUGUCAAUGUCUUUUGCCACGGCUCUCUGGUAAUGCAGAAUCUGGGUGAGACUUCCACCCCCACACAAGGCUCGGUGCUCUUCGGCACGGUCAACGGCAUGAUAGG
rnacentral:sRNA from 1 species